rfam:Schistosoma haematobium scaffold75_2, whole genome shotgun sequence.
GACCUCGUGAUGUAGCGGUUGGCACCCUGGACUCUGAAUCCAGCGACCCGAGUUCGAGUCUCGGCGAGGUCU